ACCAGAGUGGCGUAGUGGCUUGAAUGUUGGACUGUAACUCAGGAGACCAGGGUUCAAUUCUCAGCUCAGCCA